rnacentral:rRNA from 1 species
CCUACGGGGGGCUGCAGUGGGGAAUAUUGGACAAUGGGGGCAACCCUGAUCCAGCCAUGCCGCGUGUGUGAAGAAGGCCCUCGGGUUGUAAAGCACUUUCAGUGAGGAAGAACGCCUGGUGGUUAAUACCCAUCAGGAAAGACAUCACUCACAGAAGAAGCACCGGCUAACUCCGUGCCAGCAGCCGCGGUAAUACGGAGGGUGCGAGCGUUAAUCGGAAUUACUGGGCGUAAAGCGCGCGUAGGUGGCUUGAUAAGCCGGUUGUGAAAGCCCCGGGCUCAACCUGGGAACGGCAUCCGGAACUGUCAAGCUAGAGUGCAGGAGAGGAAGGUAGAAUUCCCGGUGUAGCGGUGAAAUGCGUAGAGAUCGGGAGGAAUACCGGUGGCGAAGGCGGCCUUCUGGACUGACACUGACACUGAGGUGCGAAAGCGUGGGUAGCAAACAGGAUUAGAUACCCCAGUAGUC